CUCAGUACCCUUAGGAAAAGAAAUCAAUUGAGAUUCCCUCAGUAGCGGCGAGCGAACGGGGAUCAGCCCAUUAAGUUAUGUGUGUUUUAGUGGAACGCUCUGGGAAGUGCGAACGUAGAGGGGGAUAUUCCCGUACACGAAAGGGCACACAUAAUGAUGACGAGUAGGGCGAGGCACGUGAAACCUUGUCUGAAUAUGGGGGGACCAUCCUCCAAGGCUAAAUACUCCUGACUGACCGAUAGUGAACCAGUACCGUGAGGGAAAGGCGAAAAGAACCCCUGUGAGGGGAGUGAAAUAGAUCCUGAAACCGCAUGCAUACAAGCAGUGGGAGCACCUUCGUGGUGUGACUGCGUACCUUUUGUAUAAUGGGUCAGCGACUUAUAUUCAGUAGCAAGGUUAACCGUAUAGGGGAGCCGUAGAGAAAUCGAGUCUUAAUAGGGCGUUUAGUUGCUGGGUAUAGACCCGAAACCAGGCGAUCUAUCCAUGAGCAGGUUGAAGGUUGGGUAACACUAACUGGAGGACCGAACCCACUGUCGUUGAAAAGCCAGGGGAUGACUUGUGGAUAGGGGUGAAAGGCUAAUCAAGCCUGGUGAUAGCU
rnacentral:rRNA from 1 species